rnacentral:rRNA from 1 species
AUUGAACGCUGGCGGAAUGCUUUACACAUGCAAGUCGAACGGCAGCACGGGGCAACCUGGUGGCGAGUGGCGAACGGGUGAGUAAUACAUCGGAACGUGCCCAGUCGUGGGGGAUAACGUAGCGAAAGUUACGCUAAUACCUCAUACGAUCUAAGGAUGAAAGCGGGGGAUCGCAAGACCUCGCGCGAUUGGAGCGGCCGAUGUCAGAUUAGGUAGUUGGUGGGGUAAAGGCCCACCAAGCCGACGAUCUGUAGCUGGUCUGGGAGGACGACCAGCCACACUGGGACUGAGACACGGCCCAGACUCCUACGGGAGGCAGCAGUGGGGAAUUUUGGACAAUGGGCGCAAGCCUGAUCCAGCCAUUCCGCGUGCAGGAUGAAGGCCUUCGGGUUGUAAACUGCUUUUGUACGGAGCGAAAAGGCUCUCUCUAAUACAGGGGGCUCAUGACGGUACCGUAAGAAUAAGCACCGGCUAACUACGUGCCAGCAGCCGCAGUAACAC